rnacentral:rRNA from 1 species
AUGUGCUUCAAAUGUGGGCGCAAUGGCCACUAUCAGAUUGAGUGCAAAAACGAGCCCCUCUGCUUCUUAUGCAAGGAAGAAGGCCACACUUCCUCGGCAUGCCCUUCGCGUCAAGCAAAGCCAGAAUUGGUUAUGUACAGCUUUGGGGUCGAAGAUCAAUGUUUUUACCUAUUUGAGGGAGGGGCGGACGAGGAGGUGCUCAUCCCAGCUAAUGCAGCCUCGCUGGUGGUUACGGAAGGGGAGGCAAUGGAGGAAUCGAUUCGGGGAGACCUUAGCGACAUGUGGGAAUCGGAUUGGGACUGGCAAGUCACCCAGAUCCGGAGGAACUGCUUCUCAGUGGUCUAUCUGUCGAAAGAGGUCUUGCGGAUGGCCAAGAAGUGUGGCACAAUCACGCUACUGAUGACCCACAAGUAUAGGGGGUCUAUCGUAGUCCUUUCGAUAAGUAAGAGUGUCGACCCCAACGAGGAGCAGAAGGAAAUGACAAGCGGUUUUCAGUAA